rnacentral:rRNA from 1 species
UACGAAGGGGGCUAGCGUUGUUCGGAAUAACUGGGCGUAAAGCGCACGUAGGCGGAUUGCUAAGUCAGGGGUGAAAUCCCGGGGCUCAACCCCGGAACUGCCUUUGAUACUGGCAAUCUCGAGUCCGAGAGAGGUGAGUGGAAUUCCGAGUGUAGAGGUGAAAUUCGUAGAUAUUCGGAGGAACACCAGUGGCGAAGGCGGCUCACUGGCUCGGUACUGACGCUGAGGUGCGAAAGCGUGGGGAGCAAACAGG